rnacentral:lncRNA from 10 species
GUGCCAGCCAACUGUGGCUGCCUGGGACACUCCAUCUUAAGUCCCUGUGCCUCUGCUGUGUGUUACUGAGUGCCUAGGCCGUGCCAGCCUGUAUUCAUCUGUACUAUGACCUGAAGAGGCAGAGGCCAUCACUGUUGGUCCGGUCUCCACCUGGGGAAACUGAGGUGUCUCUGUGGUGACGAGCAGGGCUUCAUCCAGUGCCUCUGUCCCCACCGAGGGGACUAUGGGAGACAUGGAGGGUGUGUGAGCAACAGGUGAGACUGGAGCCAGCUGAAAACUGGGAGACCGACCCAGCCAACAAACAAUGUCGGUCUCUGUCUUGGCACCUGCAGGAAACAAGCUCCUACUUCCAGAAAAAGUGCUCCUGGGACUCCAGGAUACCAGGCAUCUGGACGCGGUGGUACAUGCCUGUAAUCCCAACACUUAGGCAGGAGGAUCACUCGAGCCCAGAAGAUCAAGACUAGUGUGAGCAACAAAAUCCUUCCCUGGCACCGGUUCCAGGAGGACCUCGUUCUUAGGCAGCAUCUGUGUCUCUGUUUUGUAAGACACACAGAGUAUCCUUAACCCACUGCAGAUAUUUCCCUGGGUCCAUGGUCAAUCAACACCACCUUUCAGUCUCCAGCCUCUUAACCAGCCCAGGGCUGAGUGUUGUUUAUAGUAUUAAUAUGUUUCUGGCUGGGCUCAGUGGCUCAUGCCUGUAAUCCCGGCACUAUGGGAGGCUGAGGCAGGCGGAUCACUUGAGGUCAGGAGUUCAAGACCAGCCUGGCCAACAUAGUAAAACCCCGUCUCUACUAAAAAUACAAAAAUGAGCCGGGUGUGGUGGCGUGUGUCUAUAAUCCCAGCUACUCGGGAGGCUGAGGCAGGAGAAUUGCUUGAACCUGGGAGGUGGAGGCUACAGUGAGCUGAGAUCAUGCCACUGCACUCCAGCCUGGGCAAGAAAGUGAGACUCCAUCUCAAAACAAAGAAACAAACAAAGUAUUAAUAUGUUCCCCUUGAUCAGUGGGGUGGUUCACCCUUGUAAUCCCAGCACUUUGGGAGGCA